CCAUUAACCAUUACAAUCCAACU
rnacentral:siRNA from 1 species